rnacentral:rRNA from 1 species
GACAGAGGGUGCAAACGUUGUUCGGAAUUACUGGGCGUAAAGCGUGUGUAGGCGGCCACGUAAGUCGGAUGUGAAAGCCCCGGGCUCAACCCGGGAAGUGCACUCGAUACUGCGUGGCUUGAGUACUGGAGAGGUUGGUGGAAUUCUCGGUGUAGAGGUGAAAUUCGUAGAUAUCGAGAGGAACACCGAUGGCGAAGGCAGGUCUCUGGGCAUUAACUGACGCUGAGGAGCGAAAGCAUGGGGAGCGAACAGG